ensembl:lncRNA
UGUGGAACAGCUGGUGUAUUUUUAAAAAACAAACACACUCCAGCGCAGCUCAAAUAGACAGAGAGAUCAGGUCAUUUUACAUGUGCCAUCUGUGUGUAACAUAUGACUUCGCAAGCGUUCACAGUACACCUCCGGGGGAUUUUAAGUGCAGUUAUUAGGAGUAAUGUUAAAGCUCUAUGUGUUCAGGCAUGUCAGCAAGGAGACGGACAGCUCCAACAGGUGGGAAGGAUUUAAAGUGGGAGGAGUAUGAAUGCUUUUAUCCAGGCGCAGAGCGAGAAGGUGGUGUCAGAGGGAUUGCCCAAAAUAACCUGCCUGGUGUCUGGACAGUGGUGAUAUGAUGCAGAGCUGCUGAGAGAGAUGGAUGAGAAGGGGCCACAGGGCACACUGAGUAGGUGCUAAAGGAAGGCCAUCUCAGCGGGUUGUCGAGGUUAGCUGGGAGGUUUUUUCAGUUGGUUAUAUUCACGGAAAUGCAUGUGGAAGUGGAAAUAUUUGGUCCAUAGUUCAUGGCAGGCCUUCCAGUGGUUGUCGAAAUGGUUCCUCGAAAUCCUGUCACUCAAAGCCACAAAUGCAAUCUUGAUUAUGGUGCUAGAGGAAAAGUAAGAAGACCACCAAAGUAAAUAUGAUUUCAUCCUUGGGGAAACAUCUGUGUAAAGUUUCUGAUGAAUACUGCUGGCUACAAAGUCAAACAAAUCUCUUGUUCAUACUAAAUCAUGAAUGUUGGUGUGUUGCUUUUUCCAACUGCAGAAAUACCCAUGACACCAUUUCAUACUGAAUAUUUUAAUUGUGCAGCAGUUAACUUCCAAAAAUUAUUGUAUAAUAAAAAGUGUAAUUUGCUGUUAAGUGAUAUGUUAAUUUCGAUCUCGCUGUUGCAAUUAGGAAAAUGUGUAGUUUUCCCCAGAGACUGAUAACCAACCGGCCCAACAUGUCGAUAACCACUGCUCAUCUACAAUCACAAUGAACACCGGUGUACCACAAGGCUGUGUGAUGAGCCCUUUCUUCUCCUCCCUCUUCACCCACGACUGCAGACCUACCGAUGGUUCCAACACCAUCAUUAAGUUUGCAGAUGACACCACGGUGAUUGGCCUCAUCAAUGACAACGAUGAGGCCGCCUACAGGGAGGAGGUGGAUCGUCUGGCUGAGUGGUGCGACGUAAACAACUUGCUGCUCAACACAGAGAAGACCAAGGAGCUCAUCGUGGACUACAGGAGGAAUGCUGACCCACAUCCACCCAUCUACAUUAAAGGGACGGCUGUGGAGCGUGUGAGCAGCUUCAAGUUCCUGGGAGUCCACAUCUCCGAGGAUCUCAUCUGGACGACCAACUGCUCCAAGCUGGUCAAGAAGGCUCACCAGCACCUCUUCUUCCAGAGGACUCUGAAGAAGAACCACCUGUCCUCAGACAUCCUGGUGAACUUGUAUUGCUGCACCAUCGAGAGCAUCCUGACCAACUGUAUAACAGUCUGGUACGGGAACUGCUCUGUCUCGGACUGGAAGGCGUUGCAGAGGGUCGUGAAAACUACCUAGCGCAUCGCUGGAGCACCACUUCCAGCCAUAAAUGACAUCUACAGGAAGCGUUGUCUGAAAAGUGCUGGGAAAAUCAUCAAAGACCCUAGUCACCAAUCACAUGGACUCUUCACCCUCCUGCCCUCUGGGAGGCGCUACAGGAGCCUCCGGACUAAGACCACCAGGUACCGGAACAGCUUCUUCCCCACAGCUGUCAGACUCCUGAACUCUGCCGACAUCUGACCCACGUUAAAAUAAUGGACUGAACAUACACACACCCACAACCACUAGCACUUUAUAUAGCCUCUGUAGAAAGUAGCCACAUAUUUCACUUAUCUUAACUGCACUUCUGUAUAAACAAUCAUCCUGUACAAUACAAUAAUUAUAAUUCUACAACUGUUUACAACUGUUUAUAACUUCCAUAUUCCUGUAUAGUUUCAUAUUUAUAUCCUGUUCUGUUCAUAGCCUGUACAUAGCUUGUAUACCCACUACAGCCUGUACAUACUUAUAGCAUAUUCAUAACAUACCUUCAUACCAUGUACAUUAUAACAUACCCAUAGUAAACCCAUUUUUGCACCCUCAUACGUAUAACAGACCCAUUUCUGUAAUAUAUCUAUAUCAUGGCUAAAGCCCUUCUGGAUGGAUGCAAACUGCAUUUCGUUG